rnacentral:rRNA from 1 species
GGUAGCCGGCCUGAGAGGGCGACCGGCCACACUGGGACUGAGACACGGCCCAGACUCCUACGGGAGGCAGCAGUGGGGAAUAUUGGGCAAUGGAGGAAACUCUGACCCAGCGACGCCGCGUGCGGGAUGAAGGCCUUCGGGUUGUAAACCGCUUUCAGCAGGGAAGAAGCGAAAGUGACGGUACCUGCAGAAGAAGCACCGGCUAACUAUGUGCCAGCAGCCGCGGUAAUACAUAGGGUGCAAGCGUUGUCCGGAAUUAUUGGGCGUAAAGAGCUCGUAGGUGGUUCGUCACGUCGGAUGUGAAACUCUGGGGCUUAACCCCAGACCUGCAUUCGAUACGGGCGAGCUUGAGURUGGUAGGGGA